rnacentral:rRNA from 1 species
GACGAACGCUGGCGGCGUGCUUAACACAUGCAAGUCGAGCGAUGAAACUCCUUCGGGAGUGGAUUAGCGGCGGACGGGUGAGUAACACGUGGGUAACCUGCCUCAUAGAGGGGAAUAGCCUUCCGAAAGGAAGAUUAAUACCGCAUAAGGUUGUAGUUUCGCAUGAAACAGCAAUUAAAGGAGCAAUCCGCUAUGAGAUGGACCCGCGUCGCAUUAGCUAGUUGGUGAGGUAACGGCUCACCAAGGCGACGAUGCGUAGCCGACCUGAGAGGGUGAUCGGCCACAUUGGGACUGAGACACGGCCCAGACUCCUACGGGAGGCAGCAGUGGGGAAUAUUGCACAAUGGGGGAAACCCUGAUGCAGCAACGCCGCGUGAGUGAUGAAGGUCUUCGGAUUGUAAAGCUCUGUCUUUGGGGACGAUAAUGACGGUACCCAAGGAGGAAGCCACGGCUAACUACGUG